UUUGGAGUAAGGUUUGGCAUGCUGAUAAAGGAGCAAUAGGAAGCCGGGAGUCUGGGGCCACUGAGGUUGCCGCUGAGUCCUGGAGACCCUCAGGAUCAGGCCUGCUGACCUUUCCUCAGAGAAGGAGAUUUGGAGGCAAGCUGAUUGAAUGUGAAGAAGCUGUAAGGGCCUAGACAGACAGCUCAGUUGGUUAAGAGCAUUUGCAGAAGACCUGGAUUCAGUUCUCUGGAUUCAACAUGGAGGCUCACAA
rnacentral:sRNA from 1 species